rnacentral:misc_RNA from 1 species
UAGGGUCUCUGACUCUCAAACCACUGUGCAUCAAUACUAUAACUGCUGAGGCGGGCCGCUCGCUGGGGGAGCUUAGGCCUGUACAGGUGGCCUGCCGAAGCAACUUUCAAACUCUUUUUUACCGAGUAAAAAAAAACUUUCAAUAUCA